UACGGAGGGUGCAAGCGUUGCUCGGAAUUAUUGGGCGUAAAGGGUAGGUAGGUGGUCUCAUUUGUCUGGGGUGAAAGCCUUGAGCUUAACUCAAGAAGUGCCCCAGAAACGGUGGGACUAGAGUCCUGGAGAGGGUCGUGGAAUUCCCGGUGUAGCGGUGAAAUGCGUAGAGAUCGGGAGGAACACCAGAGGCGAAGGCGGCGACCUGGACAGGCACUGACACUCAACUACGAAAGCGUGGGGAGCAAACAGG
rnacentral:rRNA from 1 species